rnacentral:rRNA from 1 species
CAAACUUGGUCAUUUAGAGGAAGYAAAAGUCGUAACAAGG